rfam:Pteropus alecto contig85695, whole genome shotgun sequence.
GUCUACAGCCAUGCCACCCUGAACAAGCCCGAUGUCUGAUCUCGGAUACUAAGCAGGGUCGGGCUUGGUUAGUACUUGGAUGGGAGACCACCUAGGAAGACUAGGUGCUGUAGGCA